GAAUUUUUUCUUUCAGUACUCAAGUCCUGAAUGGUACUUAACAGUGUGCAAUUAUCAAUAACAUCUCCACUUCUGACCUUAUGAUGCAGGGAAAGUCAUUAAUGAAACAGCUGAAGAUGGUUGGGCCUAGCACAUUACACUGAGGAACUCCUAGAGCGAUGUCCUGAGCAUGAGAUAGUUGGCCUCCAUCAACCACAACCAUGUUCCUUUAUGCUAGGCACAAACUGAGAGCAAUAUCUGGGAGCGUCAGUGGACUGGUGGUGGGCAUGCCGUGCUGCAGCACCUCACCACUUAUGAGGAGCAGGCCAUGGAGCUGGAGAGGAGGCAGGCGGACAGGUUGGCAGGUGUCGGCGAGGCUGGGGUGCAGCGGCCAGCAUCACCACCCCAUGGCCGCCACCAACAAGUCCAGAGCCCCCCCCCCUCCAUACCUGAGGGCCAACCCUUGCAACUUGCGUCACAUCCUUUCAGCGAGCCAGGCACCAGCGCAGCGACAAACACUUCAGUGGGGAUUAUGAUGUCGACUAGUGUCCUGGGGCACAGUGGAGAGGGCACUUCACAAUCGCUGGAGGAGAUGGCACGGACAGAGACUUCCAAUGGCGCCAGCAGCCAGAGGACUGCAGGGGACCAGGCACAUGCUGAGUCCAGCAGUGAUGAUGUGCCUCUGGAGAUGUCAGCCAUGCAGCAGCUGCAGGACAAGCGGCAGGGUCCUCGGGAGCAUCUGACAGGGUUGCA